CUGAAACACUCUCCCUCUCCGCCUAGAACUCUAUUAUCUACACGUUCCCUUACUCUCGCUUUCUUAGUUGCUAUGGCCUGGAUACUGAUUCCUUUAAAGUCACUGAACAAACCGUGGGUGAGUUGGGCGGUUCCAAUUUAUUAUCAACCGAUUUCGGGGCCGAGUUCGACCAACUUCAUCACCUCUCCUUCCUUUGCUUUCCCCGCAUUGCUGUGCAUCGACAUUCCUGCGUCUCGAACUCUCGGCUAGGUCUAGGGUAUUCGUCUUCAUCAGUGCAUCGCAUAUGCCCACCCUACUACCAGUGAAGAGUGAAUGGAAACAAUGAAAUCCAUGUUGAUGGUGUAGAUCAUGUGCAACUCCAAGAUGAGUUGAAACUGAGGAUAUCAGGAGAGAAUUCUGGUUUUAAUUCUUCCAGCAUUGCAGCCCUUCAGGAGAACCCUUUACUCUCAGAAUCUGAACAUACAAGGGGAUUCGGUUGAAACAUUUAUGGCACAAGAUGGGGAGAUAGAGGAUGAUGAUGCUUUAACUGAAACAUUCAGUGAAGAAAGCUUUUCUGAGCUUGAGGUUGUGAUGGCAAAGAUUGUGCACCACAUGGAACAAAAAUUGACAACCAUGACUUGAUCUUUACUGCUUGUUGACGUUCACUAUGAGUAGAUGUCACGAAUUUGUAACAACAAGUGCUAAUUGAUGAAGAAACUUCUGUAGCAGGCAUAAGUUUUGAAAUUAACCUUGUUGGACAAAAUUCUUCCUCUUUUCUCCGUUAUUCAUGUAUUCUUCUAUUUGUGGAUACAGCUUUUCUUGCUCCUGUUUGAUGUUCAAAGGGUUCAAAACCUAGUUAUUGCAUGGCUUGUCUACUCUCACUUGUGGAGCAGCUUACAGAUUUACCAAAACUUAGUGUGUCGAAUAUGGGGAACAGCUUGAAAUUUCUGGUACAAAUUUAAUGGUGACAAGUUUUUAAUCAUUAUACUUUUGUCGAUAGACAGGGUAUCUACAGUUUUGAAAAUAGCCUGUUGAAUGGGUUGGUGCCUGGAUCUUCAGUCAUUUCUAUUUGUGUUUAGAAGACAUAAUAGGUGAUUAUUAAAUCGAUUUCAGUUAUCCCA